AUUAGCUCAGUCGGUAGAGCACUCGGCUGUUAACCGAUAGGUCGUAGGUUCGAGUCCUACAUC
rnacentral:tRNA from 2 species